GCACGGCCGCCGAGAAGAAACGGGGCGACUACACCAAGAUCUCCUUCCGGCCGGACCUGACCCGCUUC
rnacentral:SRP_RNA from 1 species